rnacentral:tRNA from 1 species
AGGGGUGUGGCGAAAUGGUAGCCGCGCCGGAUUUAGGAUCCGGUGGUUUACACCGUGCAAGUUCAAAUCUUGUCACCCCUA